rnacentral:tRNA from 1 species
GAUGAUGGCAGUAGGUAGCCGAGCGACCUUUUAGGCCGCAUAUCGUAGGUUCGAUUCCUACCGUUAUUAUCA